rnacentral:lncRNA from 1 species
CAUGCGCAGACGCCCGGCCGGCGACUGAAGGUGAGGCUGGCUGGUUCUGCUGGCGGGGAGGAGGCGGGUGGUGGGACCGGUAGGGAAGGCUGAGGAGGCGGGCGGGAACCUGUGCUGGGGAAAGCAAGAAGGGAAGAGGAGCAACGUGGGACGAGGAGUUGACGGGAGGAAAGUGCGAGUCCGGGCCCCGGAGAAGGCUGGGAGGGAAGCAGGAACCAGAGCGCGGGCCGGGGAGUGCCUGAAGAAGGGAACCAGUUGCCCGAGGCGGGCGUGAGCUUCGCAGUGGCAAGAAUUUCGUCUGAUUUUCGUCCCCCGGCUCCUGGAGCACGGCCUGGCAUACAACUGGCGCUCCGUAGUCUUCAGCUCUUAUGGAUUGGGAGCUGGGAAAGGAAUGAGAAGACAGAAGUCAGAGACAAGAAGAGGCUAACAUGACUGAUACCGCUGUAAUUUAGUGUAAGUCAUCUCUUACCUUCCAAGAGAACCUGCUGCUUGGAACCUCCAGAUACGCUUCCCUUCUCAUGGACAUAGCCUCUUCUCCAGCUGCUGCCCCAGUGCUUCCUCUGGGCAUGCAGUGGCCCACCCACUCUGGUGGGUGGAUUUGUCCAAUCCGUCCUCUUUGAUAGGACCCAAGACAACCCAGACAGCCUCCACCCAUGGGGUC